UGGGGAAUAUUGCACAAUGGGCGGAAGCCUGAUGCAGCAACGCCGCGUGAGUGAUGAAGGCCUUCGGGUUGUAAAGCUCUGUCUUUUGGGACGAUAAUGACGGUACCAAAGGAGGAAGCCACGGCUAACUACGUGCCAGCAGCCGCGGUAAUACGUAGGUGGCAAGCGUUGUCCGGAUUUACUGGGCGUAAAGGAUGCGUAGGCGGAUUUUUAAGUGAGAUGUGAAAUACCCGGGCUUAACUUGGGUGCUGCAUUUCAAACUGGGAAUCUAGAGUGCGGGAGAGGAGAAUGGAAUUCCUAGUGUAGCGGUGAAAUGCGUAGAGAUUAGGAAGAACACCAGUGGCGAAGGCGAUUCUCUGGACCGUAACUGACGCUGAGGCAUGAAAGCGUGGGUAGCAAACAGGAUUAGAUACCCUGGUAGUCCACGCCGUAAACGAUGAGUACUAGGUGUAGGAGGUAUCGACCCCUUCUGUGCCGCAGUUAACACAAUAAGUACUCCGCCUGGGAAGUACGAUCGCAAGAUUAAAAGCUUAAAUGAAUUGACGGGGUCAUAGCUGUUUUCCU
rnacentral:rRNA from 1 species